AGGGAGUACUGCUUUCUGCAGAAAUAGGACUCGGAAUUUCACUGACUUCAGGUAGUAUAUGAGCUUCAAAGUCAGAAGAAAUUCCAAAGAAAUAAUCUUUGGAAUCUGUAGUAAUCUUAGAGGCACAAAGUUUCUGGACUCAACCAAACGACAGACUGUCUGGCAGAACACUGCCCCGCUGUGCUUUUCAUCAGUAUUGUGUGUUAUCUUAAAGAGUAGCAAGGAUCCAGUGGUUCAUAAAGGCACAAACCACCAAGUUGCAGAUGUUACAAUGACACCAACCUGACUUCACUUGAUGGAUGACCUCACCCAUGUGCCCUGGAACACCACCUCUCCAGACCCCUGCCCCAAUAGGGAAAGGUAGAAACAGACUGGGAGCAUGGAUUGACCUGCCAACACCCAUGUCCAGUAGAAAAGCAAUUACAGAAGCCAGAUCUUCCACCUUCUGCACCACAUAAUGAUCCGGGGUCCAUGCUCCCAGAGGGAUAAAGAACAGGAAAGCUUUUAAUGGAGGGGAUGGGAUAUGGAACUCUUGGUGGUGGGAAUUGUGUAGAGUUGUACCCCUCUUAUCCUAUGAUCUUGUUGAUCAUUAUUAAAUAAAUAAAAAGUAAUAAAUUUGAGAAACAGCAAAAAAUCCAUGAGACUUCAAAUUAGAAUCUAUUAUUAAAAUGUCAGGCUUAUUUCUCUAAACUUGGACUUACCUACCUCCUUCCAUAAGUUAAUUU